GAUGAACGCUGGCGGCGUGCCUAAUACAUGCAAGUCGAGCGAACGGACGAGAAGCUUGCUUCUCUGAUGUUAGCGGCGGACGGGUGAGUAACACGUGGAUAACCUACCUAUAAGACUGGGAUAACUUCGGGAAACCGUAGCUAAUACCGGAUAAUAUUUUGAACCGCAUGGUUCAAAAGUGAAAGACGGUCUUGCUGUCACUUAUAGAUGGAUCCGCGCUGCAUUAGCUAGUUGGUAAGGUAACGGCUUACCAAGGCAACGAUGCAUAGCCGACCUGAGAGGGUGAUCGGCCACACGGGAACUGAGACACGGUCCAGACUCCUACGGGAGGCAGCAUUAGGGAAUCUUCCGCAAUGGGCGAAAGCCUGACGGAGCAACGCCGCGUGAGUGAUGAAGGUCUUCGGAUCGUAAAACUCUGUUAUUAGGGAAGAACAUAUGUGUAAGUAACUGUGCACAUCUUGACGGUACCUAAUCAGAAAGCCACGGCUAACUACGUG
rnacentral:rRNA from 1 species